CGCGCAAGUGGUUUCUUAAGUCUGAUGUGAAAGCCCACGGCUCAACCGUGGAGGGUCAUUGGAAACUGGGAGACUUGAGUGCAGAAGAGGAUAGUGGAAUUCCAAGUGUAGCGGUGAAAUGCGUAGAGAUUUGGAGGAACACCAGUGGCGAAGGCGACUGUCUGGUCUGUAACUGACACUGAGGCGCGAAAGCGUGGGAGCAAACA
rnacentral:rRNA from 1 species